rnacentral:rRNA from 1 species
UACGUAGGGUGCAAGCGUUAAUCGGAAUUACUGGGCGUAAAGCGUGCGCAGGCGGCUUUGCAAGACAGAUGUGAAAUCCCCGGGCUUAACCUGGGAACUGCAUUUGUGACUGCAUGGCUCGAGUACGGUAGAGGGGGAUGGAAUUCCGCGUGUAGCAGUGAAAUGCGUAGAUAUGCGGAGGAACACCGAUGGCGAAGGCAGUCCCCGUGGACCUGUAC